UUAUUAUAUCUUAUAAUUAUAUAAUCUAAUGUGUUACCCUAGCAGCUGCACAAUCUCUCUGUAACCACACCAAAUCCUAACAGCCGCCACACAUAGACUCUUCCUCUUCUCCAUUACCUCUUAUCUCCACCGUUUCUUUCACCUUGACCUUGCUCCUCCGUUCCAGAUCUCUUUAUUCCGGUGACCACACAGACGAAGAUAGGUGGGAUUCAUCACCCAUCGAUCACCUUGGAUUUGGGUUUUUCACCUGAAAAUCGAUCGAGGCCGACCGAUGUCCACCCUUAUUUGGAUCCAUUCAGAUCAAGGUAUUCCGGUGAAUGUUGCAGCUAAAGUUGUGGCUCUGUAGGAGAAUUCAUUCCUCCCGGGUAAACUCUGCCGUCAACUACAUGGACUAAUCUCUUGAGUUGAGUGGAAAAUCUCUUCGACAAAAAAUUUAACAAUGUUGCAUUCUCAGGGCUGAAUUCAAACUCUGGACCUCAGAUAAAGUUGGAGAUCCCUUGCAUUCUCAUUGGUUUAUAUGAUGUAUAUAUGUGUUUGCGUUGUUUAAAAAUGAAUGAAAAAAAAAUCUUACAAAACAAAUUAUUAUAAUUUUAUUAAUUUUGUAAGAUGCAGCUUUUUAACUCUAAAACAUAAUUUUGAAUCAUC